GUUUUGAUCUUUGCCUGUCUGGCUCCGUGUUUUUUUUUUAUCCCUGGCUUGUGCCUAACUCUUUGUUUUGCCCUUGCCCGUUUUGGUCGCUCUUAAACUUACCUGCCUGCACACGGAUCCAAACGCCUCUGAGUCCUCGCUACAUUGACAGGACCAGAGACAGGAGCUUGUAUACAUCACAAUGACAUGCCUUUUGUUUGCUCCUGAUUUACAAAUGUAGUAGAGUGGUUAAAUGGUUAGCCAAUUCCAUCUAUUUAUAAAAUACUUUAAAAAAUGCAAAUCUAUCAGUAACAGUAAUAAUGUAUUUUAAUGAUUUUCCUUCUGUGACUAUUAUAAAUUUUGUAAUAAGUGUAACCGUUAAUGUACUGCUACUUUAAAUGUUGUUUUGCUAAACCAGUAGAGGGCAGUGUCGCGGAAGUUAUCUCUGGACAUUUUAUUUUGAAAAGACGCAAGGCAGUCGUCUUCCUGUUCGUCUUCCUGUUUAGCUUUCUGCUCCGCGGUGGCUUCAUCUACAUGAUAGACAAAAUAUCCACGAAGUUUUAAGAGGACGGAAAUGUGCGUCGUGGUUGUGAGGACGCCAUGACGGACGCGUAGCUUGUGAGAAAACGGCGCCAUUUCCAGCUUUCCUGAGUGUAAAACUGCUGAAAACUGUUGAUUGGUGACCCUAAACAGUCCCAAAGCAGCCAGUGCGUCCGUCUGUGUGUGUCCCUGUGAAGGACCGUCAAACUGACCAGGGUGUAACCUGCCUUCACCCGGAUGUAGCUUUGAGAUGAGAGGGUGUAUCCAUGGCAACACGGGAGAUGUGGGGGCUGGAGGAGGAGAAGGAGAUGGAUUUAGCCUGAAGGAGCUCGUUUCCAGAGGAAAACCCUCCCAGAGGAUCAAACGGCCGUAUCAGAACGAUCAAAAAAAGACCCAGAUACCUUCUGACGGACUCCACGUCCGUGGAUUCAUCCUCCUGCAAGUGUUUGUAGACAUGGCCGCUCCCUCUGGAUCCCUCCAGGAGAUUUGUUGGUACUUUGUGUUUCCCUCUGGAAAUUGGCGGCGUCCUGAAGUGGCUGGCCUCUUUCCGCUGCAGAGCUGGACUGAGCGAGAGGGAGCUACUCCUGCAAGAACAUGGGAUGAGAAAAAUCCCCAAAUGAGCAAAGCAUUUUGGGAAAUGUACUCCAAGAGUACUUAAAGUCUUAUUCAGUUAUUGAGAUUUUUUUUCCCCAACAAGUACAAUGUAAUAUUGGUGUUUUUAAAAGCAUAAAAAAUAAUUUUGUUGUUUUAUGUUAUUUUAUUGAAGAAUUGAACAUUUCUAUUUAAAUAGAUCAAGCAGCUUUAUUCACCAGGACGAUCACAAACUAGAAAUGCAACUGAAACUACAGUUUUUGUAAUCUUAGUGGGGAAUAAAAACUUUUUCAUUAGAAGUUUAUUCAAGAAAAAGGCAAGUUUCUACUUCCUUUCUUGUCUUUUAGGGAUAAAUUCGUUUUUAGUAUAUUUUGGUGAAUGUAACUUGAUAUAGUUUAAACUUAAAGUCCUACCGGAGUACAAGAUUUCAAAAUGAUUAGGUUCAGUUUGAUACGUUGUUUUCAGUUCCAUUCUAAGUCUCUUCAUGCAGUCAUAGAAGGUUAAAGUUUCCAAUGAACUACCUCUUGUAGUUUUUGUUAUGACUUCCUGUCAUUUUCAUUUUUAUUUUUGCCACUUUCUUUCGUUUUCUCUUUUUUUCAAUAAACAUUGUUUCCGUCUUGGUUCCUUC